rnacentral:lncRNA from 1 species
CGACCCCAUCAAAAAAAUAGGCAGAAGAUUUAAAUAGACAAUUCUCCAAAGAAGACAUGCUGUCUUCUAGUGAGACAUCAUUUCCCAUUUAUAAGUUCACAAGCCAUAUGUUUACGCAAGCCUUUGAUACUAUUUUCAUCAUUUAUCUAUACUUUAUUGCCUCUAACUACAUUCCCCUUUCAAUAAUGAGGACUCUAAUUUGCUUUUCUUCACUGAACUGGCACAGUGAAGAUCUACAUUUCCUUAAUGAGACUUAAGAUUCUUUUCCUUCCCAUUCUUUCAAGAAAAAAAAUGGGAAGCAUCAGCAAAUUAUUGACUUCCUGUUCAGCAAGCCCCAAGCCUCGUGACAGGACUUCUGCUCUGUUUACCAAUAGUGUGAGUCAGGGCUUGUGGUUGUGGCACAGUCAGCCCCACAGCAGCUUUAUCUCCUCUGACUUGAGGGAAGCCACCAAUGGACUGGAAGGGGAAUCUGGAAGAUCCAUUGGUCCUGAGACUUCAACUCUGCAUGGUAACUUCUAUUCUAAUGAGGUUUAGAAACCAUAGACUGAAUUGUCCCUAUCUUAGCCUGACACUGGUCAUGAAGUUUUCUUUUGUGAAGUGGCACUCAAUCAUUACCUCACAGCUGAACUUUAGUAUUGGACGCUUAGCUGCUUUCUUCAACUCAUGCAGUGUAUGCUCAUCAGAUUAAUCUUUCCAAAUCAUGGCUCUGAUGGUCAAGAUGAUGUCUAACCCCAACCACUGCCCUGGACUGAAUUUGCUUCCUUUCUGGAAAAGCGAAGAAAAAAAAAAUCCUAUGCCCACUUUAUAAUCAUUGUACACUGACUUGAUUGGAAAAAGCUUUAUAGAUAACUGUUGUUUCUUGGUAAAUGAAAUAAUUGCCUUUAUAAUAGAUCUUGGAGUGAGGCAUGUCUGAAUAAAGGGAUAAUUCAUAAGGUGAUUUCA